UUAACACUUCAUGACUGAGAGCUGUCCUUCAUGACAACAGAACCCACAACAACCAUGACUUUUAUCACCAUCUUCUUCUGGACACUUGCUUUCUGCUUUCAAGAAUCCAGAGGACAGGUCACUGUGUCUCAGACUCCUGCAGUGGAAACUGUUCUCCCAGGACAGACAGUCUCUCUGAACUGUAAAACCAGUAUUAAUGUGUAUCAAGCAGGUUACUCUGAUGCCCGUCUAGCCUGGUAUCAACAGACACCUGGAGGAGCUCCUAAACUCCUUAUAUACCAUGCUAAAACACUUCAGUCUGGGACUCCAUCUAGAUUCAGGGGUAGUGGAUCUCAUAGUGACUUCACUCUGACCAUCAGGGGAGUCCAGGCUGAAGAUGCAGGAGAUUACUACUGUCAGAGUUUACACAACCCCAACAGUGUCUGGGUGUGGACUUUUGGUAGCGGCACCAGACUUGAUGUUGGAAGUAACAGAGCCCCCACCCUCACCGUCCUGGCCCCCUCUAGUGAGGAGCUGUCCAGUACAACAACAGCCACACUGACGUGUCUGGCCAACAAGGGCUUCCCCUCAGACUGGACCAUGAGCUGGAAAGUGGACGGGACCAACAAGAAGCAGGAGGCCAGUCCCGGGGUCCUGGAGAAGGACGGCCUGUACAGCUGGAGUAGCACCCUGACUCUCACUGCCCAGGAGUGGACCAAGGCAGGAGAGGUGACCUGUGAAGCCCAGCAGAAAUCCCAGACUCCAGUCACCAAGACCCUGAGGAGGGCUGACUGUUCUGGGUAGGACCCCUCAGUCACACAGCCCUGUGGAGAGAGGCUGCUGGUUCUUCUGCUUUGACUCUGUUCUGAGAUCAGAUGUUCUCUGUCUUAUUGAUCACUGACAUGUAGACUAACAGGGGGCUUUGCUUGAGUUCAUGUGUCAAUCCUCUCUGUAGACUGAGGUUGUAUCAGUGUUAGAUGUGAUGUGUUCUGUUUUAUUACUAUUAGAUACUGUAGGAAUGUUUGCUUUGAUGCUUUGAUUAAUGGAUGAAAAUAAAGAUUUCCCAUAAGAACAAA